ensembl:lncRNA
AAAGGGAAUGCAAAUGAGCAUAUGCUUAAGGCCAGUUGAUAAUUUUAAGUUAUAUAACAGCAGGCUGUGUUAUGUCUUCACAUAUGUCUUCCAAUAAUUUAGUGUGUUAGAAUUAGAUGUAGAAUAUUCCUAAAUCCUUACUGGGCUCCUAACUGCCUAAAGUUCCUUGGAAAAGCCCCUGUGGUUAUUUUGUAUCCACUGUGUGCCGAGGGCGCAUGUGCACCAGUUGAAAAGUCUCUGUGGUUUAUAGCGUAUGUCAGCUCUCCUGGGUGCAUCUGGGCUGGAGCUUAGAGAUCAGCCUGCCUCCCUUUCAGCCAAGCCUCCCCUUGUGGCUCAUGUCUAACUUCCUUCCUAACACAUCUGUGUUUCUGAUGCUCAGCCAACUGUGAGAAUCACUGACUUUCCUUCAUAAAUAAAUAUCCACUCAGUAGCUUGUGGCAGAAACAAAGCUAUAACUUUAUAAUGUGUGAUGGCUCAGGAACCUAGAUGACAAAUAAUUUGUACUGUUGAAGGAAGUACUAGAGCAGCUCAGUUGUGCAGAAAAGUGAGCUCACGUUGUUAGAGAAAUUCAAGUCUAAAAGCUGUUCCAGCUUGCAGUCAGAGGUGGGCUAUGGUAAUUUGUGGGCAAGGCCACAUUUUUUUUUUUUCUUUCAAAUUGUACACUUCUUUGGAUAUACUUGAUGCCUGUGGACAAAUAUAUAUAGGUUGAAAUCCUGUGCCUCUUGACCUACUUAUGUUUUGGCUGUGCUGGGUCAUUACUAUGCUGGCUUUUCUCUGGUUGCAGGGAGUGAGAGCUACUGUCUAGUCGGGUGCUCGGGCUUCUUACUGCGGUGGUUUCUCUUGUUGUGGAGCACAGGCUCCAGGUGCAUAGGCUUCGGCAGGUGUGGUGCGUGGGCUCGGUAGUUGUGGUUCCUGGGCUCAAGAGCAUAAGCUCACUAGUUGUGGCGCAUCGGCUUAUUUGCUCCGCUGCAUGUGGAAUCUUCCCAGACCAGGGAUCGAACCUGUGUCCCGCAUUGACAGGCGGAUUCUUUACCACUGAGCCACCUGGGAAGCCCUGAGGUCCUAUGUUUUUAUGCCAUAAAGAAAUAAAUGCUACUAUUUUAAUCUAGAAACCUCAUUUUUGACUGUCACUGAG